rnacentral:rRNA from 1 species
UGGGGAAUCUUGCGCAAUGGGGGAAACCCUGACGCAGCGACGCCGCGUGCGGGAUGAAGGCCUUCGGGUUGUAAACCGCUUUCAGCAGGGACGAGGCCUUAUGGUGACGGUACCUGCAGAAGAAGCUCCGGCUAAAUACGUGCCAGCAGCCGCGGUAACACGUAUGGAGCAAGCGUUAUCCGGAUUCAUUGGGCGUAAAGCGCUCGUAGGCGGUCUGUUAGGUCGGCAAGUUAAAUCCGGGGGCUCAACCCCCGUCCGCUUCCGAUACCGGCAGACUUGAGUUUGGUAGGGGAAGGUGGAAGUCCUAGUGUAGCGGUGGAAUGCGCAGAUAUUAGGAGGAACACCGGUGGCGAAGGCGGCCUUCUGGGCCAUAACUGCCGCUGAGGAGCGAAAGCUAGGGGAGCGAACAGG